GUUUUUCACAUGGGUGGCUGGGCAGGGGCCAGCGAUCAGUCUGUGGUGGCACGGACAUUUUCAGGCAGUACAUGUUAAGUCUUGUGCCCAAAAACGCUCGAAGAGAACUAGGUGCCUGUGUUUAAGGACAAGAUCCUGCACUUUGCCAACAGAGAGAAGUGGCUCUUUAUCUGCUUUCCAAUCUGGAAACUAUGACAGCAGACAAACAACUUAAUAUCGCCUUUCUGGUCCCUGCUCUGCUCUCAACAUUGAUACAUGAUUGGAAGGAAAAUGUUUGGACCAAGCUUCACAGGAACCAGGAAAGCCUUCAGUGACAUGCAUCCUAUAAGGUUGGUACCAGUGGCUGAUUUCCUGCACUGUGCAAAAGAUGUCAUUUUUCCAUACACACCAAUGCUUGGAGAAAACAAUCAGUGCUUUCAAGCAUUUGUUGUCAUUCACUGAGAAGUGUUUCAAAAUACAUUGCAGGGCACAGUGGACAUUUACUUCAAAGCGUUCUACGUCUUAAAUAUUAAUUACCCCAAACAGGAUUUGUGUGAAUUUCUACAGACUGGAAACUUGUUUACACAAACAGACUGAAUACAUUUGUACCAUUUAAAUUGUUAUUGUAGUCUGCCUGCCCCUCUCUCACUGUGUGGUUGUGGUAAAGUGAUUUUGAUGACCAAGAAUUCUGUUUAAAAUUUUCAACCCAGCAUGCUGCAGUGACUUUGCAGCAAAGUUACUGACAACAACAGUCCAACAGUUGGGAUAGUCAUUAAGAGGAGCAGAGGUUUAUGAUGUUUCAGAUGUAAAGAAAAAUGUACCUUUUAGGUUUAUUUGCAUAUAUAUAUAUUUUUGGGGUGUAACGGUACAUGUAUUCGUCCCGAACCGUCACAGUUCGGUGCAUGCAGUCAGACGAAGAAUACAUCUGAGUCAGUCACAGGUGAUCCACUCCAAUCCAGAAGGGGGUGUGCGUGGUAAUGCAACACUUUUUUUUUUUGCUAACCGCCACAACAGGAAAA